AGCAUUUUAUCAUUUUCAGAACACUUAUCUAACAGAAACAGUACCACAAAUAGGGAAAUAAGAACAAAACAAACUUCUGAGAAAAAGAUGAGUAGAUUUUCUUCAACAGUGCUCAGCCCACACACGCCCCACUGCAGUCCCAGGAAUAGGACUGGCCUGCAGUUUGAGGCAAGCCUGUCUUCUGUACAAAUACCAAAUACCAGAACCUGCUAAUCCCUAAUGGAGUGAAGACAGCUACGUGGGUGUGAUAAUGCCAGGAAAACCUGGGCAACUCCUGCAACUCUGAGGUCAGCUAGGCCUCUCUGGCCCUACCAGAUCCAGCUAAGAGGACUGCAGACCCAUAAGGCCACAGUGAAGUUCAAGUUCCAUACCCUCCAAAGAUUUCUGCAAAUUCCCAGCCCUUAGCCUCCUCCUAGUCCCCUCUGCCCUGGGAAUCCAGAGUGGUGUCCCCUUUACCCACUCAGCUGCCCAGAUGUAAACUAUCAACCCUUUCACUGAUUUGCACAGAAAAAUCCACUCUACCCAGGCACAGCUCUUCCCUGACAUAGCAUUCUCAAUUUACCUCCCACAGAAAGGGCAGAAGGCAAAGGGGUGUUUUGCAAAAAAGGCCUCUGCCAUUUAUUUCAGUUGGGAACAUUUAAUCCAUUCCAGUACUCCAAAAGACAGUCCAAUUUUUCACAUAAAUAAAAUCCUUAUAAGAAAAAUCUCUAGUUAUAUAUGAGGUGAAAAGUACAGAUUUCUUAUUUUAAACACCAGUCAGUUAUUUCAGUAACCGAAGCAGCACCAAAAACAUUCUGAAUCAAAGUUUCUCAUGCACUGUGAGUUUCUCCAGCAAAGUCCAGCAUUCAGGCACCUUCUCUUUAAAGGCAAAACACAGCAAAGGAACAAAAACAAAAAAACAACCACCACCAAAGAUGCUAUUAUGGGGCCUCUCCUGAGUGUAGAAGUGAAAGACGAAGUUCCGUGAAUCACAAUGGCCAACUUUUGUAACUUGCCUGUCAGGGUUUGCUGAGAAAAACCAAGAGGGCAAGAUAUAGGAAUGGGAAGAACAGCUUCCCCACAAUGGCUGGCACUUACCUGGGCCAGGCAUGGUGCUCAGCCUUGUUUUAAAAUUUAAUUCUAUUUCUAUCAAACUUAAUACAUACACGUUUUAAAAAGUCAAAUACUACUAUAAGGCUAGUAAAAAAAUGUAGUGUUCCCCUCCCCAUACCUUCCCCACCCCAAGUCCCAAUUCAGCAAAUACUUUUCAUAUUUACCUCCACUUUUCUGAGUAAAAGACAUACUAUUGAAUCCUGACUUUUCCAUUUUAGACAUAAUCUCCUGCCUUCCUGCUAUGGUUGCUGAGGGUUUUAGAAAGGAUACCUUUACCUCAUCUACUUUCCCUUCUACAUCCUCCCCAUGUAAUCAUGUCACAGGUUUUGUUAAAUCAUUAUUCAAUGAACAUGUUAUUCUCAUUAAGUAAACAUUGUUCAAGCUGCUCCAGAAAAGUGUUGCAUUUUCUUUUGCAUAUGACUUUUUGUUUUCCCUGGAAUUAAUUAUUGACUUUGCUUCCACUUGCAUAAUUUAUGUAGCCAUCACUAAUUCUCCCUACAAACUCUGCAGAAGAGAUGUAAAAUUCCCCUGGGUAUAUUGAAACAUAUCCAUCCCAUCUGUACCUUGGAGAUGUCCUUCCAGAAGCUGUCCUUCCUCCUGUUCCAAUCUGAG
rnacentral:lncRNA from 1 species